AUUGCGGCGGGCUACACAUGCAGUCGAGCGCCCCGCAAGGGGAGCGGCAGACGGGUGAGUAACGCGUGGGAACGUACCUUUUGCUACGGAAUAACUCAGGGAAACUUGUGCUAAUACCGUAUGUGCCCUUCGGGGGAAAGAUUUAUCGGCAAAGGAUCGGCCCGCGUUGGAUUAGCUAGUUGGUGAGGUAAAGGCUCACCAAGGCGACGAUCCAUAGCUGGUCUGAGAGGAUGAUCAGCCACACUGGGACUGAGACACGGCCCAGACUCCUACGGGAGGCAGCAGUGGGGAAUAUUGGACAAUGGGCGCAAGCCUGAUCCAGCCAUGCCGCGUGAGUGAUGAAGGCCCUAGGGUUGUAAAGCUCUUUCACCGGUGAAGAUAAUGACGGUAACCGGAGAAGAAGCCCCGGCUAACUUCGUGCCAGAGC
rnacentral:rRNA from 1 species